GGAAAAGUGUAGAGAUUGCUCUA
rnacentral:siRNA from 1 species